AUGAACGCUGGCGGCGUGUCUUAGGCAUGCAAGUCGAACGCUUCGUGUAGAGUAGCAAUAUUGUCUUAGUGGCGAACGGGUGAGUAACGCGUUGGUGACCUGCCCCGAAGUGUGGAAUAACAAUUCGAAAGAAUUGCUAAUACCGCAUGUGAUCUUGGAGAUUAGAACCUCUUUGAUUAAAGGAUUUAUUCGCUUCGGGAGGGGCCUGCGUCCCAUCAGCUAGUUGGUAGGGUAAUGGCCUACCAAGGCUUUGACGGGUAGGGGACCUGAGAGGGUGGCCCCCCACAAUGGAACUGAAACACGGUCCAUACACCUACGGGUGGCAGCAGUAGGGAAUAUUAGUAAUGGGCGAAAGCCUGAACUAGCAACACCGCGUGUGCGAUGAAGGCCUUCGGGUUGUAAAGCACUUUUCGGGAGGAUGAGGAAGGACGGUACUCCCGGAAUAAGUCUCGGCUAACUACGU
rnacentral:rRNA from 1 species